rnacentral:rRNA from 1 species
UACGUAGGUGGCAAGCGUUGUCCGGAAUUAUUGGGCGUAAAGCGCGCGCAGGUGGUUCUUUAAGUCUGAUGUGAAAGCCCACGGCUCAACCGUGGAGGGUCAUUGGAAACUGGGGAGCUUGAGUGCAGAAGAGGAAAGUGGAAUUCCAAGUGUAGCGGUGAAAUGCGUAGAGAUUUGGAGGAACACCAGUGGCGAAGGCGACUUUCUGGUCUGUAACUGACACUGAGGCGCGAAAGCGUGGGGAGCAAACAGG